GGUUGGCGUUCAGGGUUUGGCAGUGGGAGGACGGAGGUAGGGUUGAAGGUGAGGGGGGUGACUUAACAAAUGCGUACAGACCUGGUUGGAGAGCUUUGAGUCGUGUGUGUGGGUGGGUUGUAGGGAAUUAUCUGUUAUUUUUAAACUGAGAACACUAUGUCGGAUAUUGAGGACAUUAGAUCAAAUACACGGGUUAGAGGUUAAGCUUGUGUGUUUCAUGGAGAUAAAUUACCAUACAACGAAUUAAUAAAGCAUGUGGGCUUGUGUAUCUAUGAGCAAGACAGAAAGAGUGUAUUUUUAUGUGUGUCUGUGAUCCCUUUGCACCAUACACACGCACACACACACCUUUCUUCCACCACUAGGUCGCACUGCCUGCCUCGCAGCCUCUCCUCCUGCUUGCCAUAGUCCUCUGACUACAGCAGCCAAUCACAGACGUCUACAGCAGAGCCACAUGAGGGUAUCUUCCUAUCAGAAAAUACUACUAACACACACUCACACAAGGAUGUAGACUUAAUACAGUCCCACACAGACUGGAUAUCUGCCCGCUUUACUCAUACUCAUACAAUGUACAUAAUCCUGUUUGUUUGGAUCACCAUGGCAUAUAAAUAUAACUAAUCCUAAUGACAAAGUCGCAAACAGCUUCAUUAUGACUCCGUUGUGAGCGUUUUGUUAUUUCAGAAUAAUGUUAUAAUUUAGGUAAAAAAGAGGGAUGGAAUAAAAAUGUGCAUGUUUUAUCAGGACACAGCCAAAGAUUUUAUAAAUCUGUUAUGAUUCAGAGAACAAAAUAUGACCUAAAAAUGUGGUUAAAAAAAAAAAAAAAUCAAGAAUGAAUGCCUGGAACCUUUAUCAUGCCAAACUUAAAAAAAUAAUAAAACAAGAGUAAACAAUGUUUUUUUUUCUUUUCAACCUAUAGCAACUCCGGACUUAAAUAAUAAUAAUAAUAAUAAUAAUAAUAAUAAAGAAUAAAAUACAAAUCAAAUAUAGCAAGAAUCCCUAAAUUUAAAUAUUCUAAUGGGAGGUUUAUUUUUAGAUUUUUAUCUACAUUGCCAUAAUGAUAUUUUUCACUAUAGGCUGUUUCAUUAUUCUUAUAAAAUAAUUCUCGUCAAAAUCUCAGCAGGUGGAAACACAACUGGACCAACAUCAACUGGGCGACACCAGCCCGACCCUGCAGACAGAAUAUGCACUUUAGAUUAAAAAAGAAAAAACAACUCUCAUCUUUGUGUGUCAGGCAGGAUGAUGGCGGCAGGGGUUGUUUAGUUGACACAGAAAGGACCUGGUUUCUGGAAUGUCCACCACUGAAUGUUUGGGAUCUCAGGGUUCUCACCCUGAAGACCGGGGGCUUAAAUACUGUUUUUGAGCUGAAGGCACCACACUGUGUCUCUGAACUUCACUCAACCCCCUUAAAUUCCUCUUACUGGACAGGAAAUUGAAAUAUUGUGCAGUAUUGGCAUGCUGAUGGUCAUCUAUCACAGGGGCCUACCAGGGGAGACAGGUUGAGGUAAGAGGAGACCCUCUGUAGAUCAGAGAUGGGCUGCUGGGCCGGGGUUCAAAGGUAAAGAGGAGAGACUGGGUGGAGAAAGAGGAUAGCGCUCUUCGCUGGAGACAAACUUGGGUGUGCUUUACCUUUAUCAAACAAUAUCCCAAAGACCCUUAAGGGAAAAAUACGGGCCCCCGAUGUGAUUAGUUUAUUUUAACUGUGUGCAAAAAGGACACGCACAGUCCUGAGAAGCAAGUUUUGGCUUUAAGUUUCAGCACACAAGUGAGAUGAGAAGUUUUAAAAAGGCCAUGAGUUUAUUAAACACAUUGUGGACAUGAAAUGAAAUUCAGCCCAGAGGAGUGUUUUUGACAGCUUCCUAAUUUGGCAUCAACAGGUGUUCACGGAGCCUAUGAUAGACUAAAAACUGACUUAUGUGCCUGAUUAUUUUCUGAAAUGUUGUGAUGCACAGUCAAAACACCCAAAAUGACGAUGCCGCCUUCAUCGUUGCAUAAUCGUGACCGUAAAUGCGCACAGCGUAGCAGGAAAUGAAACUCGCCGGCGCAUCACAGGGGGGUAGGAUGAUGUGGAUGUGACUGGUUAUAUAAAAGUAUAGGGCACAGUUGGAGUGAACCAGAUGGGAUGAUGGCUGUCAUUUUAAAGACGAACGCGCCUUUCUUGUCUGCGUCUGGAAAUUUCGCCUCUGCGUGACCUUGUGAACUUGCCUUCCGCGUGACCCUCGACAAUUCCCCCUCUGACGGCUCCCCGAACACCCCUCCACAUCCUUGUGCUCAUUUGAACAGGCUAUUACCCAGGCAGGAAGUGACAUCAACGGGUCCAAACUAAAAAUAUGUCGCAGGACGGGCUGUCUAGGAUGUCCAGGACCGGUGUUUGUAAAGAAGGAUGCCUCUCACCGGCUCUACAGAGUGAUGCUCAUUGAAGGAUGCAGGAGAGAGCGCCACACAGGCGAGCCAGACAGACGCACUGGAGGCUGAGUGAGUCGCCUGCUGACUGAGUGCUUAGAUUCCGUCACUUUCAUUCAUGCAAGUUCAGACAUGGUGACAUACUUUGCCCUGUCUGAAGUCUGUGACGCAGCGCAGAGCAGCGGCGAUAAGUCUUAUGUGGUGAACUAACGAGUGGUGUCCGUGUCGCUCUUUGUGAGACGGGGAGUGAGGUGUGUGUGGUGUGUGGCGCGAUGGAACAGACAACACCACUGUUUUGACUGGAAUAGCAGGAGGGAGGAGUGAAAUCCGCGCGGGGUUUAUCUGUGCGCUCUUGCGCGUUUUUGAUCCAAUAAACUGCACAUAUGAUAUAAAAGUCUGAUCUACCAUGACAAGACUUAUAAAACGAAGCGACUGUGUUGAAGUUUACCAAGUUGGAUAUGCGUUCUGUUGCUUUGUCAUCGUCCUCUCAGCACAUGAAUGGCGUCUAUUUUUAUCCGUCCAGUGCGUGUGUGUGUCGUCCUCACCAGGGAAGCUCUGACAGACCCUGUCGUGCGUCCAGACUGAAAGUGCUGCAGUCACGUGGUGUCUGCUAUUAUCCACCCGCACGUCAGGUACAGCCUACUGCUGUGUGCAGGCAGUGCGAGGGCUUACUUCCACUAGAAGACAUAAUAAGGAUGUUUAUGAGGUGUGUUUUUAAUUAGGAUUACUAUACAUGCACAAAAAAGUUUAAUCCCAUGGGUUUUAGUUACUGUCUCUUCAUAAUAAUAAUAAUGUAAAAAGUAUGAGAUAUCCUAUUACCUUUGAAGCCCCCCACUAAAUAAUUACAGCUCAGGUGUCUCAGCUCAGUGCCUGUCAUAGAAAGAUGGACAGAUGGACAUUAUGUUUGAAGAUGAUGAACAGCCUGGUUGCAUCAGCUCACCACCUGCUGUCAUGACUGUCAGCACUUAGCCUGACAUGAGGUGGAGGGGGUCAUAGCUGGCCCUGCAGGUAAUAAUUAUUGAUAUCAUACAGACACAUCACUAACUAUAUCCAACAAUCAAUCCUUGCCAAGUUAAUAACAGAUGUUUUAAAAAACGUCACCUCUCUAAAUGAUUUUUAAAUAGGCUUGAAUUGAAAUAUCUAAGGCAUAUCUACUGUAUGUUAGGUAAUGAAGUAGGAUGUUAAAAACAACUUUAUGUCAGUGUCAUGGCUUUCUUUUUUUUAUUUAUUUUUUUGGUGGCCUCCAAUCUACAGCACGGACGUAUUCGCACCAGUUUCCAAGGGGGCACUUGUGCAGAAUUAGCGUGCAGAGGGGCUGAGUCACACUUCAUUGCACCUGGGCCCCUCUGCUUUUUACCUCAGUGAAUUGUCCCAUUGUCAGCCAAUAGUAAAGGCUGAAGAUCUUACAGUAAGCCUGGAGGUCAUUGAAGAUGUUUAAUUGGCUCUAAGUGAGACUUCAGCAGUGUGAAAUAAUGCAUGAGCUGUACAGUUGUUCUGCUACUGUAUGCACGUGUGCGCAGCAGAAUAUGGGAUGGCUGGUGUAUAUAACUCACGCUGCUGUUGCCUGCCUGUCUGGGGUGAUAGCUUCAUUAUUCAUGGUUGCGUGUAGACAGCAGUGCUUAAUCUCUGGGUUGAAAGGGGCAGGCUGUGACUUCUGUAGUAAAUGCUUCUGCUUGGUCAGCCUUAUCUGGUCUGUGCGGAGGAAUGAAGGGGUAGCAGAGAGACAGAGAAAGAAACAGAGAGAGAGAGGCCUAAAGGUGGCUAAAGAAGCUAUGUGCCCUGUUAUGGGGUACAGUUUAAGGCCAGGAGCAAUUAGCUAGACUGGACGAAGGAACGAGGGCCAUAUAUUCUCCGUGGUGAAAGGGCCUGGGCGGGGGGUCUAUUGGGGCUCGACAGGUGCAGUGAGAGUAAGGCGUCAGGAGCUGAGGGAAUCGAAACCAGAGAUGAGGCCAAACGACGGCGUCUGUGGCUUCCAGGGUCAGAUGUAACCCCUGGAGGCUCUUCCUGCCUUGACACUGUAUCUUUGUGAAAGUACGGGUAUCCGUGCAUGAGUGCUCAGUUAUCUUUGUGUGUGGAAAAGCAUGUGUUCCCAAACGUGUGUGUGACCCCGCAGCGAGAGGAACCAAGGGACGUGUUUUGAGUCGCUGUAAUCAUCUGUCUUACUUUAUCUGGCUCACACUCGCACAAAGAACAGCGUGGACGUUUUUCUCUGUUUUAACAUCCAUGUGUCCACUAUUAUUAUACAACACCAACCAUGAAAAGCUUUGAUCACUCAUGUGUAACAGCGGUGGUAAAAGAAAAUCUCGCCAUGAUGUGUUUUGACAACUUUCUGAUGCCAAAAGUUGCUGCAUUGAUUCUUCCGUGUAAUUACAUGGAGGAACAAUCUGGACUUUUCUGUCUUCUCUGCAAAGGGGCACAACCGUGAGUUGUUGUUGGGGCUGUUUGAGGGAGGAAAAGCGGUGCCGGCCGACCAUGUCGUGAUUUUUUUUUUUUUUUCCGUCUUGCUUCCUGGCUUUUCUGCUUGAACUCAAUAAUCCAGGAUACAGCCAUUACAAAUCCUGCUGUCUUGACUUGAGACCCCAGACAGGAGACAGGCUCUGCAACUUGGUUUCAUUUAGCAUUCCUCUGGGCUUUACGGGCAGGUGUUUAACAUUACUGGCAGGAUAUUUAUUGGCAACUUUAAAGGCAACUUUUUUGCUUACCUCUCAAUUAGGCACACACACACACACAUGCACAAUGUGUACUGUAGAUGCAAGCACAAAAUGCACAAAAACGCAGUCAGAAUGCUCCAUAUAUGCUGCAAACUAAGACUGACAGCCUAGCCGAGCAUAUUCUCCCUUCCUUUUUCAACACACUUUACACCUUUCGAAUCACAGAUCCACAUCCUAAGAACCCACCCUUGACCCGUGACCAUCUCUAUCUCUCUGUAUGCACCCCCGUCUUCUCCCACUCCACCCAUUAUGUCAGGUUAGUGUAUGAUGUGGAGUAGAAAUAGGGUUGGAGGCUCGAUGGGGAUGUGUGACCUGUAAUUACCGAAGCUUAGCGGGGCCAGUGGCUGUGAUGUGCAAUUCUCAAAUCAAGGUGCAGCCUGAAGACUCAGCCGGGCCCUGACUGCUGCCCUCUGCUUCUUGAUUGCUGGCAGCUGGGUGAGCCAUGUCAAGUGGCAGGCUGGGAAAUGUGAAAUCCCAGAUAAAGCACAGAGCCCUAAAAAGCCAUGAAGCUCCGGUAAUGAGGAAAGUGAUGGGGUUUGGGGGUUUGGGCAUGCUUAGCAGGCAGGCAGUAGCCGACGGUGACUCUUUCUACGGCUCCCUCUUCUUCCUGUGUCUGUGUGUGUAAAAAAGAGAGCAGAGGUGAAGGUGUUUGUAUAUUUGACUUUUCUAAUCCCGGAUUAAGAAGGAUCCACCAAUCUCCAACAAUGCAGAACUGGUGGGUUAGGUCGGCGCAGCUCCAGAUACACCCGCCUUAAAUCCUCCUGGGUCAAGCUCAGACAUAAAUCAUAAACCUACAGCACAUCCUGCUCUUGGCCCUCAUGCUUUCCCAGAACCACUUUCUUUGAAAAUCAUGUAAAAAAAAAAAAAAAAAAUCCCCUCCUCCAAAGCUGCACAUAACUCUUGAUAUUAAUGGCAGCAGUCAGAUCCAGAAAGAUUCUGGAGCCGUUGUAAUAGUUAAACACAUUCCUAGUUUUGUGGAGGCCAUUAUUCCUGCUUCUUAAUCACCCCC